UCAUAGAAUCAUAGAUUAUUAGGGUUGGAAGGGACCUUAGGAGGUCAUCUAGCCCAACCUCUACUCAAAGUAGAACCAAUCCCCAACAAAAUGAUUCCAGCCAG